rnacentral:rRNA from 1 species
AUUGAACGCUGGCGGCAGGCCUAACACAUGCAAGUCGAGCGAGCGGCGGACGGGUGAGUAAUGUCUGGGAAACUUCCUGAUGGAGGGGGAUAACUACUUGAAACGGUAGCUAAUACCGCAUACCAUCAGAUGUGCCCAGAUGGGAUUAGCUAGUAGGUGGGGUAACGGCUCACCUAGGCGACGAUGCCUAGCUGGUCUGAGAGGAUGACGAGCAACAGGGUAACUAGGACACGGUGCAAAAUCCGACGGGAGGCAGCAGUGGGGAAUAUGGCACAGGGGGAGCAAGGCUGAUGCAGCCAUGCCGCGUGAGUGCAGAGGGGCAUCGGGUUGUAAAGCACGUUCAGCGGGGAGGCGUUACCCGAAGAAUAAGCACCGGCUAACUCCGUGCCAGCAGCCGCGGUAAUUC